AGCGACUGUAAGUACAUUAUUUCUAGUCAGAACUUGCUUGUGACAAAUUAAGUGUAGGAUAAGCCAUGAUAAAAGUAUGGAUAAGUGAAAAAAAAAAGUACGGAUAAAUGAGAUAUUUUAUGAGAACAAAAAUAUCCAGCAAGUAUAAAUUGAUAUUAAUCAGCAAAUUUAGUUACGUUAGUAGACAAUGUGUAUCCUUUGAAAUUACAUCUUUACUAAUCAAUGUCACCGGCAGGUCCAGCUUCAUGAAAUGAGACCAGUGUCACAGAGGAAGGGCCCAUGUUUUGGGUUUGAUGCUUUGUGGCUGCUGGUUUGAAAUUUUACAUAAUUUUACCUUUUAAUUUAAGUGAAGACAAGUGGGACAAUAGACUCUUGGCUGCCCCAACACCAGCUGCAUCCCCCUACUCUGAGGAGGGCUUUGGCCCAGGGCAGGGAAGGCUGGGUGCAGGUCUUGAGCACCCACAUGUCCACAGGAUGGGUCUCGGGUGCCUGUGAGUGUCUCACUUGGCCCAUGAUUAUCCCCGAGGGAGUGCAGGAUUAAAUAGUGAAUAUGAAACAUCAGAAAAGGUCAAGGAAGAAGUACUUUUUUCUCCCAUUUAGAAAAAGGGUCCUGGCAUUUUUAUUUUGCACUCAAUCCCACAAAUUCUGUUCCUGGCCCUGGCCACUAGUGAUUAUUAACCUUUCAGAAUGCCCCCUUCUCUUGGUAAUAAAAAGCGAGUUUUGUUUUCUUCUCCCUGGAUGCCAACCUCCAGUGAAUUGCUCAUCCAUGUGAGGGGCUGGAUAUCAGCCAUACUACCAUCAUCUGAAGCAACUGUUCUCUCAUACUGCCCCAAUCUCUUUCAGCUUAAAAUAGAAUUCCAGCACCAGAAGAGUCACCACGGAUUGUUGGUCAUCUUAUGCCCUUUGGAGGACGGAUCCCUGUUAAAUUGAUUUCAGAUCACAUGGAGACGUGUUCUAAAGCAAGUAUCCACCCAGAUGAAGAGAACAGACAGAUGGACAGAGAGGACACUGGCUUCUUGCUUAAGUGUAGAACAUAUUACUGCUUUCAAGCUCCAGGCUUGGCUAGAAUAAGGCUGCCAUGGGCAAUCACUUUUGGAAGAGUCUCAGAGAUUCCCUUUAAGACAAUAUGAUUCUGGGAAAUAUAUUCUAAUGUCUUCCAGAAUCAAUUAUACUCUGAUGCUCAAAAGCUGAGCUCAAAACCGGGAGCUGAUCAACAGAGCUCCUGGUUGACAUAAUAUUGUGAUAAAAAGGAUCCACACCACUGCUCUGAUUACAGAGUCAAGAAGCAAAGCCAAUGCCUACUGAAGACCAAUAUUCAAGAGCCUGCCUCUCUUGACUCUAGGGAGGACAGACGCUGCUCGUGCUCAGGCAAAAUACUGAUUGAGGAACAUUGCAAACUCUGCAUUCGUUACUGAAAUAAAAGGGUUUUGGGUCUGAGAGAGCCUCCA
rnacentral:lncRNA from 1 species